UACGGAGGGGGCUAGCGUUAAUCGGAAUUACUGGGCGUAAAGGGUGCGCAGGCGGUCCUGCAAGUCAGGCGUGAAAUCCCCGGGCUUAACCUGGGAAUGGCACUUGAAACUACGGGACUGGAGUAUGGCAGAGGGAGGUGGAAUUCCACGUGUAGCGGUGAAAUGCGUAGAGAUGUGGAGGAACACCGAUGGCGAAGGCAGCCUCCUGGGCCAAUACUGACGCUCAUGCACGAAAGCGUGGGGAGCAAACAGG
rnacentral:rRNA from 1 species